rnacentral:lncRNA from 1 species
CUGACAUCGCCCAUCCGCGCAGGCUGCAGAGAGAGAUCAGUGGGAGGAGGAGGAGCCGAGAGCCACCACUUAGGCUUCCAACCAAUCCCUACCAGGGUGGGCGGAGCCCACUUCCUGAUUGGCUGCACUCUCUGUGUCUUGGGGUGGGCGAGAACGGCGGGGCCACGCCCCCUAACUAGGCAGCCAAUCAGGACGUGGGGUGCUGGUUUCUCCAUUGCGAAGCUUCAGCCUUUGAUGGUUUGGGUCCUGGGAGUCUGGUUAGUACAAGGGGAAGCCUAGUGGGUCUGGCGCUCCGUUUUCAAGACACUCGGAGUCCGUCUUUGAGGGGAAAGGUCAUGGCCCUGAAACCACCUUCUGCCACCCAGCCUGCUCCCAACGCGCCAGCUACCCCAGACGCCCCCCCUACCACAGGUGAUCCAGGUGCUUCAGCUGCGACUAUGAAGGCCAACCAGAACAGUGAAUGGGAAGAGGCUUACAUCAACUCAGGCCGAACUGGUUGGUUCGGUGCAUUCGUGGUAAUGAUUGGCUUAGGCAUCAUUUAUGGCUUGGUCCUAUAUUAAUGAAGUCUAGGCAUAGCAACCCAGGGGUCCGCUCCCCAACCGAGCCACUCACCAAACACUAACCAGCCAAGUCAGCCAUCAGGCAAGAAAUUCAACCGCUGAGACAUCUAGCCAAGAAAUCCUCUAACCAAGGAACUCAACAUUCAAGAAACCCACCAACCCAGGAACACACAGACCACCUGCCUGUGCUACUUCAACUCACUCAGCUCCAGAGCUGUCUUCGUUCACCCUAGGGGUCCACACUUCAUGCCCUAGAUCCCUUUAGCUCCUUGACACUGGGCUGUUC